rnacentral:rRNA from 1 species
UACGGGGGGGGCAAGCGUUGUUCGGAAUUACUGGGCGUAAAGGGCUCGUAGGUGGCCAACUAAGUCAGACGUGAAAUCCCUCGGCUUAACCGGGGAACUGCGUCUGAUACUGGAUGGCUUGAGAUUGGGAGAGGGAUGCGGAAUUCCAGGUGUAGCGGUGAAAUGCGUAGAUAUCUGGAGGAACACCGGUGGCGAAGGCGGCAUCCUGGACCAACACUGACACUGAGCAGCGAAAGCCAGGGGAGCAAACGGG